GUGCCAGCAGCCGCGGUAAUACGGAGGAUCCGAGCGUUAUCCGGAUUUAUUGGGUUUAAAGGGUGCGCAGGCGGCAUGUUAAGUCGGCGGUGAAAUUUUGCAGCUCAACUGUAAAAGAGCCUUCGAAACUGGCAAGCUUGAGUGUGGAUGAAGUAGGCGGAAUUUGUGGUGUAGCGGUGAAAUGCAUAGAUAUCACAAAGAACACCGAUUGCGCAGGCAGCUUACUAAACCAUAACUGACGCUCAUGCACGAAGGCGUGGGGAUCAAACAGGAUUAGAUACCCUGGUAGUCCACGCAGUAAACGAUGAUUACUGGCUGUUUGCGAUACAAUGUAAGCGGCUGAGCGAAAGCGUUAAGUAAUCCACCUGGGGAGUACGUUCGCAAGAAUGAAACUCAAAGAAAUUGACGG
rnacentral:rRNA from 1 species